rnacentral:rRNA from 1 species
CCUACGGGCGGCAGCAGUCGAGAAUCAUUCACAAUGGGGGAAACCCUGAUGGUGCGACGCCGCGUGGGGGAAUGAAGUUCUUCGGAUUGUAAACCCCUGUCAUGUGGGAGCAAAUUAUAAAGAUCGUACCCCAAUAGGAAGAGCCGGCUAACUCUGUUCCAGAAGCCGCGGUAAUACAGAGGUCUCAAGCGUUGUUCGGAAUCACUGGGCAUAAAGGGUGCGUAGGCUGUUUCGUAAGUCGUGUGUGAAAGGCGCGGGCUCAACCCGCGGACGGCACAUGAUACUGCGAGACUAGAGUAAGGGAGGGGGAACCGGAAUUCGCGGUGUAGCAGUGAAAUGCGUAGAUAUCGAGAGGAACACUCGUGGCGAAGGCGGGUUGCUGGACAUAAACUGACGCUGAGGCACGAAGGCCAGGGGAGCGAAAGGGAUUAGAUACCCCAGUAGUC